CGACGCGGCUCCAUCACUGAUAUGCAGCUUUGUGGAUCUCCAAGGUGGCUCACCAAACGUGAAACCAUUGUCGUUUAACGAAUCUGACCGUUGCAACACUCCGAACACGCCAUCAAACAACAGAUCUGGCACCCCACCACGGCUAAGGUCCGGGGGUAUGGUUCAACUAAAUGGACCUAGAAAAGAAAUAGGAAGGACUUGUACUACUCAAAAUCAAGAAUUACGAUCAGCACGGCAUCUGUCGUCGACAUUUUCAGCACCGCAUCGUGAUCGGAUUGACGGAAAUUUCCAGAAAAUGAAAGCAAACGGGAGCUGCAAGUUUCAGAUAACUGACGGGAAACUGAACUGGGGACAUAGUCGGAUUCAGAAAAAGGGAAAUCUCACGCGUCCUCCAUCGCGCAGUGCAGCGGCUUUAAAUAUCAGCAAAGACCACCUGCGCGUACCACAACACCUUCCCGAUCCCGCAGACAAACCUCUCCCAAAUCCCAGUCGCGCGCCCUCGAUCGACACCACCCUUUCCUAGCCAGAACCCUAGCAGCAGAUCGGGCAGCCGCCGGCCGGGAUGGAGGGGCUCGACGUCGACGACGUCUUCCACCACUACCGUCUGAGCCCUACGGAAGUGGAGGCCGUCACCUACUACCUGCCACGCCUCCUCUCCGGCGAGACGCUGCACGGCGCCGACAAGCUCAUCCACCGCGUCGAAAUCUCCGGCUGCGAACCCAAGGAUCUGGCCACCUGGUACGCGCCCGCGCCGCAGGCCGUGAGCAGCGGCGACCGGUUCUUCUUCACCACGUGCAAGAGCAAGAACGGGAGCAAGCUCCAGAGCGUGCGCGGCGCCGGCGGCGGCACCUGGACCAUCCAGAAGACCACGGAGAUUAGCCACGCGGGAGUCAAGGUCGGCGAGGUCAAGAACCUGUCCUUCAAGAAGAAGGGCAAGUCCACCGGCUGGGUCAUGGAGAGGAGUACCGGUGCCUGCUGCCGGAGGCCAAUGUCAGCGACGGGGUGAAGGUGUUCUGCAGAAUGCACUUGGCUCAGCAUGCCCCUGACGCGGCCCGCCAGGAAUCGGAGGCCUACAAGCUUCAGCAACAGCAACCAGAGGCCGUGACCCCGAGCACGCACGCGCAGAAGAGGCCAGCGCCCGCUGCCGCUGCCGAGCCUCAUCCGCCGCGCCCCAAGAAGAGGAUGCGCGGUGCCGUCCCCGUCCCGGCACCUGCCACACCGUCUUUCUUGAUGUAUGAUGAGGCAGCCAGAGCAAUGCAUGGCCCGCUGGCUCACACCAUCUUCCCUGUUCAGUAUGCACAAGCAUCAUGCGAGUCCACUACAACAUCCAGCCGCUCCGACGUUGCUCAAGCUCCUGAGAUUUCCUCCCAGUCAGAUGUGCUGGAGUCCACCCAAUCAGUUGUGCUGGAGUCUGUCAAGCAUUACAGCCAACAACAGAUUGUUCCUGAGGCUGGCUCAAGCAUUGCAAGGGGCACAUUUGAAGAGGACGUCUUUGAGCCAUUGGAGCCUAUUUCCAAUUUGCCGGAUGGGGACCAAGAUGGUUUUGAUCUUGAAGAAUUAAUGAGAAUGAUGGAAGACGACCCAAUUGAAGUUGAGCCGGCCACUGGAGCCAACACUGGCGUGGAGAUGGGCCAACAUGAACCUCUGUACCUGGAUGCCUUGGACCAAGGCGUGCUGGAGGGCAUGCUGCAGUCUGAUGACCAUUACCCAAUGUGGAGAUCAGAGGAUCGGGCCAUGCACAACCCUGCCUUCCAUGAUGCUGACAAGGAGAAGAGGUACAAUGCCGUGUCGGAUCUUGAUGCUCCAUCGCUUCAGGGACAGGACCACUUGUUCAAACCGCGGCCGUGCUCCUUCGAUCCAUUUGAAGCAGCAUGGAAUGACGAAGAGGCGCUCGAGAAGGAGAAGAGGUGCAAUGCCGCGGCCAAUCUUCACGCUGGAGGGCACAGCAACUUCUUCUCGCCUGCAAGUGUCUACUAAGUCCGAUGUUGAAAUUGCUUUCAAAGUGUAUGCGAGGAUACUCACUGGCUGAUAUAUUAGUUCGUCCAUGUAUGAUCGCCACGGAUGUACCUCUGAGCAAUUUGCUCCACUUGUUCAUGCAAGCUAGUAAAACUGUUGUUCUUCUUCUUGCUCC